rnacentral:rRNA from 1 species
UUGGUAAGGUAAUGGCUUACCAAGGCGAAGACGGGUAGCUGGCGUGAGAGCGUGGCCAGCCACAAUGGAACUGAGACACGGUCCAUACUCCUACGGGAGGCAGCAAUUAGGAAUCUUGCGCAAUGGGGGCAACCCUGACGCAGCGACACCGCGUGGAGGAAGAAGGUUCACGGAUCGUAAACUCCUUUUGUAUGGGAAGAAUAAAUGACGGUACCAUACGAAUAAGUACCUGCUAACUACGUGCCAGAAGCAUCGGUGACGC